rnacentral:rRNA from 1 species
AUGAAGGAGGAAUUCGAUGCUCUACAUGCCAACCGCACUUGGACCCUUGUACCUCGCCCUCGUGGUACCAACAUCGUCACCGGCAAGUGGGUUUUCCGUCAGAAGCUCAAAUCCGAUGGUUCUCUUGAUCGCUACAAGGCCCGUUGGGUUGUCCGGGGAUUCACUCAGCGCGCCGAUGUUGACUUUGGAGAGACAUUCAGCCCUAUGGUGAAGCCUGCUACCGUCCGCACUAUACUCCAUCUUGCCACCUCUCGUCAUUGGCCAGUCCAUCAGUUAGAUGUCUCCAAUGCUUUUCUUCAUGGUGAGCUACAUAACAAGUUUAUUGUGCUCAACCUAUAG